UCAGAAAAAAAUAAGUUCAAAUCAGAUCAGAUCAGAAAAAAUAAGUUCAGAUCAGAUCAGAUAAGUUCAGAUCAGAAAAUUUCAGGUGAACUAAACAUAGCCUAAAACUCCAUAUAUGGAGUUAUAAAGCCUCACAAAAUCUAUAAAAAAAAACCUCAAUUUUCUCUCUCCUACCACCACCGCCACUUCAUCACACUACACCUACACCUAUAAUUAAUCAUCACUCAAAAUCCUCGUUGACCCAUCAUCAUAACUCAUUCAUCCCUGAUGCUAAAUCCAACUCCCCACACUGAAACACAUCCACAUCUCAAAACCAACUCAAUACAACUCGGCACACAAAAAAAAAAAAAAAAAAAUCACAACUUAUAACCGCCUUAAUCCUCAAUCCAUAUCACUCUGCCGCAUCAUAAUCAUUCCUUAUUAAUUCACUAACUUCAUCACCUACCAUUUAUCAACACCAAAUCACCUGAUCACACACCACCAUCAAAAUCGCCAGAUCAGUACCACCAUUCGUCGGCACACCUUCAUCACUCAAUGGGCUGCGCUUCCUCUAUGCCUGAUAGGACUACGAGAGGACCAUCUGGUCUUAAUCCUGUCAGUGAAAUAAAGCUUGUGCUACUAGGAGAUUCCGGUGUUGGGAAAAGCUGUAUUCGUUUUGUGCGUGAUCAGUUUGAUCCUACAUCCAUUGGCUGUUGGAGCGUCAUUUCUCUCCGAAACAAUAGCAUUGUACGAUUCGACCACUGUCAAGCUUGAAAUCUGGGAUACUGCUUGCCAAGAAAGGUUUGAGUUGGAAGGUCAUAGUGGAUUCAAGCGAGAGUUGAUUAUUAAAUUGUAGUUAACUAUUGAAUUUAGAGGUUGUAUUUAGGACUAUUCAGGUCUAAUUUAAUAAUUAAGUAUUUUAUUGAAUCGAGUAAAGUAUUCUGUAAUUUGCUUUUUGGUUUAAAAUUUUGAAGUUGUUAUGUUGUGGGACAAUAACCCACAAGUCUAGGAUCGUUUUGUAAAGUUAUGUUUACGCUAUAAGAUAAUUCAAUUUAAGGCUUAUGAA